AGAGUUUGAUCCUGGCUCAGGAUGAACGCUGGCGGCGUGCCUAACACAUGCAAGUCGAACGGAGUUACGAUGAAACCUAGUGAUUCGUAACUUAGUGGCGGACGGGUGAGUAACGCUGGAUAACCUGCCUUGCACUGGGGGAUAACACUUAGAAAUAGGUGCUAAUACCGCAUAAGCGCACGGAGCCGCAUGGCUCAGUGUGAAAAACUCCGGUGGUGUAAGAUGGAUCCGCGUCUGAUUAGCUGGUUGGCGGGGUAGAAGCCCACCAAGGCGACGAUCAGUAGCCGGCCUGAGAGGGUGAACGGCCACAUUGGGACUGAGACACGGCCCAAACUCCUACGGGAGGCAGCAGUGGGGAAUAUUGCACAAUGGGGGAAACCCUGAUGCAGCAACGCCGCGUGAGUGAAGAAGUCAUUCGUGAUGUAAAGCUCUAUCAGCAGGGAAGAAAAUGACGGUACCUGAGUAAGAAGCCCUGGCUAACUACGUG
rnacentral:rRNA from 1 species